rnacentral:rRNA from 1 species
UGAGAUUAGGCAAGAUUACCCGCCGAAUUUAAGCAUAUUAAUAAGCGGAGGAAAAGAAAACAACUGUGAUGCCCCUAGUAAUGGCG